rnacentral:lncRNA from 1 species
GUUUGGCCAACUGGAACGCCGUGAUUGGUCAUCGACCAUCGAUUGGUCAAUCAGAGCGCCGUGGCUCACCAUUGGCUGAUGGUUUGGCCAAUCAGACGUUGACUGGGGGGUUUGGCCAACCGGAACGCCGUCCUUCGUCAUUGGCCGAUGGGUUUGGCUACCUGGAACGCCGUGGCUUGUGAUUGGCUGAUGGGUUUGGUCAUCGGGAACACCGUUGUCCAUCAUUGGCUGAUGAGUUUGGCCAGCUGGAACGCCGUGGCUUGUGAUUGGCCGAUGGAUUUGGCCAGCCGGCCUGUUGGCUGGCCCCUUGGGGUAGCUCCUCGCCAUUGGACGAGGGGCUCGGCCGUCGUGGGUGCCAAAGAUCUUGAUUGGACGACGGCCUCGGCCACCUGGAGGCCUCGGCCUCUCAUUGGACAACGGUUCAGCCAGGGGGCUCGCGUCACCUUCGGACAACGGGAUUGGCUGCCUGGCCUCUGAUGUCAUCACAGGGGGGUGGGGCUUGGCCUUGGGGAUACCCAGGGGAGAUUUGGGGACCCCCCCAGUUGGGGGCCCCCCCCAAGAUUUUGGGGUGGCCCCCCCCUCCUGGUGGCCCGCAGAUUUGGGGUGGAUCCCCAAGAUUUUGGGGGCGGCCCCCAGCGAGUACACGGAGGUGCCCCUGGGCUGCCUGCAGCUGCCCCGCGACGGCGCCAUCUCCCCCCAGCCCCCAGGCCCGCGGCUGGGGGGGGCGCUGGAGGCGGAGCGCUUCGAGGAGCUGCCCCUGUGCUCCUGCCGCAUGGAGGCCCCCAAAAUCGAGCGGCUCAGCCAGGCGGCGCGCAGCCUCUGCAUGGCCACCGAGAGCGUCGACGGGCAGGUGGGGGCCCGGGGGGGCUAUGGGGGGGUCCUGGGGGGG